rnacentral:rRNA from 1 species
AUUGAACGCUGGCGGCAGGCCUAACACAUGCAAGUCGAACGAGUCGCGGACGGGUGAGCAAUGUCUGGGAAACUGCCUGGUGGAUGGGGAUAACUACUGGAAACGGUUGCUAAUACCGCAUACCAUCAGAUGUGCCAAGAUGGGAUUAGCUUGUUGUGGGGGUAACGGCUCACCAAGGCGACGAUCACUAUCUGGUCUGAGAGGAUGACCGACCACACUGGAAAUGAGACACGGUCCAGACUCCUACGGGAGGCAGCAGUGGGGAAUAUUGCACAAUGGGAGCAAGCCUGAUGCAGCCAGGCCGCGUGUAUGAAGAAGGCCUUAGGGUUGUAAAGUACUUUCAGCGGGGAGGCGUUACCCGCAGAAGAAGCACCGGCUAACUCCGUGCCAGCAGCCGCGGUAAUAC